AUUGAACGCUGGCGGCAGGCUUAACACAUGCAAGUCGAGCGGGGUGAUGGUGCUUGCACUAUCACUUAGCGGCGGACGGGUGAGUAAUGCUUAGGAAUCUGCCUAUUAGUGGGGGACAACAUCUCGAAAGGGAUGCUAAUACCGCAUACGUCCUACGGGAGAAAGCAGGGGAUCACUUGUGACCUUGCGCUAAUAGAUGAGCCUAAGUCGGACUAGCUAGUUGGCGGGGUAAAGGCCUACCAAGGCGACGAUCUGUAGCGGGGCUGGGAGGAUGAUCCGGCAGAAUUGGACGGAGACACGGCCCAGGCUCCUACGGUAGGCAGCAGUUGGGAAUAUUGGGCAAUGGGGGAAACCCUGAUCCAGCCAUGCCGCGUGUGUGAAGAAGGCCUUAUGGUUGUAAAGCACUUUAAGCGAGGAGGAGGCUCUUUUGGUUAAUACCCGAGAUGAGUGGACGUUACUCGCAGAAUAAGCUCCGGCUAACUGUGUGCCAGCCGCCGCGGUAA
rnacentral:rRNA from 1 species